rnacentral:rRNA from 1 species
UCCGUGCCAGCAGCCGCGGUAACACGGAAGCCCCGAGCGUUGUUCGGACUCAUUGGGCGUAAAGGGUGCGUAGGCGGCGCGGAAAGUCCGGCGUGAAAGGCAGGGGCUCAACCUCUGGACUGCGUUGGAUACUUCCGUGCUUGAGGACUGGAGGGGAGACUGGAAUUCACGGUGUAGCAGUGAGAUGCGUAGAUAUCGUGAGGAAGACCGGUGGCGAAGGCGAGUCUCUGGACAGAUCCUGACGCUGAGGCACGAAGGCUGGGGGAGCGAACAGGAUUAGAUACCCUGGUAGUCCCAGCAGUAAACGAUGUGAGCUUGAUGUGGGGGGGUUCGACCCCUUCCGUGUCGAAGCUAACGCGAUAAGCUCACCGCCUGAGGAGUACGGCCGCAAGGCUAAAACUCAAAGAAAUUGACGGGGACCCGCACAAGCGGUGAAGUAUGCGGCUUAAUUCGAUGCAACGCGAAGAACCUUACCUGGCCUUGACAUGCAUUGUGUCGUCGGUGAAAGCCGGCUAGUCCUGGAAACAGGACGCUUUGCACAGGUGCUGCAUGGCUGUCGUCAGCUCGUGUCGUGAGAUGUUGGGUUAAGUCCCGCAACGAGCGCAACCCUUGUGGUCAGUUACUAACCGGCUUAGCCGGAGGACUCUGGCCAGACUGCCCUGUCAAACGGGGAGGAAGGUGGGGACGACGUCAAGUCAGUAUGGCCCUUAUGGCCAGGGCUGCACACGUACUACAAUGCCCGGUACAAUGUGAACCGAAACCGCGAGGUGGAGGAAAUCGCUCUUGAAAACCGGGCCCAGUUCGGAUUGGAGUCUGCAACUCGACUCCAUGAAGUCGGAAUCGCUAGUAAUGGC